rfam:Sinorhizobium sp. RAC02, complete genome.
CGCGCUGGACGACCAGCGCCUUGUUCGUUCCGGGGACGGCCCC